rnacentral:rRNA from 1 species
AUAGAGUUUGAUCCUGGCUCAGGACGAACGCUGGCGGCGUGCCUAAUACAUGCAAGUCGAGCGGAGAUUUGAAAAGCUUGCUUUUCAAAUCUUAGCGCCGGACGGGUGAGUAACACGUGGGCAACCUGCCCUUGAGACGGGGAUAACUCCGGGAAACCGGAGCUAAUACCGGAUAACACAUAUCUUCGCAUGAUGAUAUGUUAGAAGGUGGCUUUUAGCUACCACUCAAGGAUGGGCCCGCGGCGCAUUAGCUAGUUGGUGAGGUAACGGCUCACCAAGGCGACGAUGCGUAGCCGACCUGAGAGGGUGAUCGGCCACACUGGGACUGAGACACGGCCCAGACUCCUACGGGAGGCAGCAGUAGGGAAUCUUCCGCAAUGGACGAAAGUCUGACGGAGCAACGCCGCGUGAGUGAUGAAGGUUUUCGGAUCGUAAAGCUCUGUUGUUAGGGAAGAACAAGUAUCUGUUGAAUAAGCAGGUACCUUGACGGUACCUAACCAGAAAGCCACGGCUAACUACGUGCCAGCAGCCGCGGUAAUACGUAGGUGGCAAGCGUUGUCCGGAAUUAUUGGGCGUAAAGCGCGCGCAGGCGGUUCCUUAAGUCUGAUGUGAAAGCCCACGGCUCAACCGUGGAGGGUCAUUGGAAACUGGGGAACUUGAGUGCAGAAGAGGAGAGCGGAAUUCCACGUGUAGCGGUGAAAUGCGUAGAGAUGUGGAGGAACACCAGUGGCGAAGGCGGCUCUCUGGUCUGUAACUGACGCUGAGGCGCGAAAGCGUGGGGAGCGAACAGGAUUAGAUACCCUGGUAGUCCACGCCGUAAACGAUGAGUGCUAAGUGUUAGAGCGUUUCCGCCCUUUAGUGCUGCAGCAAACGCAAAAAGCACUCCGCCUGGGGAGUACGGUCGCAAGACUGA